AUUGAACGCUGGCGGCAUGCCUUACACAUGCAGGUCGAACGGUAAUAGGUCUUCGGAUGCUGACGAGUGGCGAACGGGUGAGUAAUACAUCGGAACGUGCCCGAGAGUGGGGGAUAACGAGGCGAAAGCUUUGCUAAUACCGCAUACGAUCUCAGGAUGAAAGCAGGGGACCGCAAGGCCUUGCGCUCACGGAGCGGCCGAUGGCAGAUUAGGUAGUUGGUGGGAUAAAAGCUUACCAAGCCGACGAUCUGUAGCUGGUCUGAGAGGACGACCAGCCACACUGGGACUGAGACACGGCCCAGACUCCUACGGGAGGCAGCAGUGGGGAAUUUUGGACAAUGGGCGCAAGCCUGAUCCAGCCAUGCCGCGUGCAGGAUGAAGGCCUUCGGGUUGUAAACUGCUUUUGUACGGAACGAAAAGACUCUGGUUAAUACCUGGGGUCCAUGACGGUACCGUAAGAAUAAGCACCGGCUAACUACGUGCCAGCCGCCGCUGUAAGAC
rnacentral:rRNA from 1 species